rnacentral:rRNA from 1 species
CUACCACGCGAGUGGAUGCCAAUCCCUAAAACCCCUCUCAGUUCGGACUGGAGUCUGCAACCCGACUCCACGAAGCUGGAUUCGCUAGUAAUCGCGCAUCAGCCACGGCGCGGUGAAUACGUUCCCGGGCCUUGUACACACCGCCCGUCAAGCCAUGGGAGCCGGGGUACCUGAAGUGCGUAACCGCGAGGAUCGCCCUAGGGUAAAACUGGUGACUGGGGCUAAGUCGUAACAAGGUAUC